rnacentral:rRNA from 1 species
GACGAACGCUGGCGGCGUGCUUAACACAUGCAAGUCGAACGGAAAGGCCCCCUUGUGGGGUACUCGAGUGGCGAACGGGUGAGUAACACGUGAGUAACCUACCCUUGACUUUGGGAUAACUUCAGGAAACUGGGGCUAAUACCGGAUAGGAGCUCCUGCUGCAUGGUGGGGGUUGGAAAGUUUCGGCGGUUGGGGAUGGACUCGCGGCUUAUCAGCUUGUUGGUGGGGUAGUGGCUCACCAAGGCUUUGACGGGUAGCCGGCCUGAUAGGGUGACCGGCCACAUUGGGACUGAGAUACGGCCCAGACUCCUACGGGAGGCAGCAGUGGGGAAUAUUGCACAAUGGGCGGAAGCCUGAUGCAGCAACGCCGCGUGCGGGAUGACGGCCUUCGGGUUGUAAACCGCUUUCGCCUGUGACGAAGCGUGAGUGACGGUAAUGGGUAAAGAAGCACCGGCUAACUACGUG